GCAUUUUUUUUUUUUUUUAGACGAACCAAGUUACAUUUAGGAAAUGAUUUACAGGAGAUAACAUUGGAAUUGAAACUGUUGGUCAAGGGAAGGAAAAUGACCAGCAGAAGGGAACACACUCACUAUUUGAUAUGGCGAGGGAUAUGUUUGGAUUGAAUUUAAUUCAGAACAGAUCACCUUAUUUAGUUUACUAUGCUCCAGCAAAGCUUGUCCACACAAACAGUCGGUCCAACGAGAGUGGGUGGGUCCGCGGUGAGAUUCAACCAAUCACGAACCGACAGGCGCACCAGCAAGGUUGACAGUGGAAGGAUCUGGAACAGGCAGGCCCUGAAAAGGCAACUGACAGUUUUAACUGCACAUACAAAACUUUUCCUUCCACCCUCUGUACUCCUCCACGGUUUCUGGCACUGGAGCCCCGCAGAGACUCCGGCUCCGACAUCGCUGCAAAUGUUGAC